CUGGCCGGCUAUAGUCCAUGGGGUCGCAAACAGUUGGACCCAACUGAAGGGACUUAGCACUCACACACACAUAUCCCAUCAGGGUUUUCACAUCAGCUAAAAUGAUUCUGCCUUGUGUGGCUACUCUGCAAAAAUGAUAUAGUUGGAUUCACUUAUGGAAUUUUCCCCUGGGUUUUUAGACAUUGACUUCUCAAUUUAAUUUUGUUUUAUAAUUAUAUAAAAUGAUUACAUUAUUGCAAACUCAAAACUGCAAAGGUUUUUUCAGAAGUGUCUGACUACUAUAUCUAUUUCUUCCUAAAGUUUAUUUACUUUAAAGUGUAAAGUAAACUUUAAAAUAUUUUUUGUUUUAAUCUUUCUCAUUUUGAGUAUUAGUAUAUAAUAUUAAUUCUGUGUCUAUACAGACACAUGUAUUUUUUUCAUGGAACUGAUAGGGGACUUUGUACACUUUUUCCCACCUUGCUUUUUGUACUUAUCUUCUUCAUUUUUGGGAGGCAUUACUUAGCCGUGUCUCAUUUCUUUUUUGUAGCUGUGUAACCUGAAUCCAUGAGUGAAUGUAUGAAAAUUGAUUCAACCAGAUGGACACUUGGGUCACCAUUUCUCUCCCAGUUGAUUCAGAAAGCAAGCAAACAACAAACAACGCUGGCUAUGAGACUGUUAGCAAUGAGUCCGAAAUUUCCCCUAGUGCUGGAAAACUUUGCUAGCUGAGAUUUCUCUCCCCAUCACACCCAGUUCCCUCCUCCCAAGGUACCAAUUAAACUUUUUUUAAGCCCCUGAGAUGAAGAGGAAUAUCUCUGCUGUGAGGAGUUCCUAAUUCAGUGAUACUGCUCCUUAGAGAAUCAAGUCUGCCCAGGAACAACAUUCCCUAAACUUCUAAACUGGGCUCCUCUGAGACUAGACAUCCUCAAAAAAUUGUCCCACAUGAACUAACUGAGACCAUUUUUCAGACUGUAUUCUCCUUUUAGAGAUUCACAUGUUAGGAUGUGGAAAGGCUCUGAGAAGUCCUAUAACUAAUAAACGUCUUUAAUUUUACAUAA